UACGAGGGGGGCAAAUGUUGUUCGGAAUCACUGGGCGUAAAGGGAGCGUAGGCGGGCUUCUAAGUUAGGUGUUUAAUCCCAGGGCCCAACCCUGGUCAGGCACCUAAAACUGGGAGUCUUGAAUAGUGGAGAGGACGAUGGAAUUGGGGGUGUAGCGGUGGAAUGCGUAGAGAUCGCCAAGAACACCAGUUGCGAAGGCGGUCGUCUGGACACAUAUUGACGCUGAGGCUCGAAAGCAUGGGGAGCAAACAGG
rnacentral:rRNA from 1 species